ensembl:lncRNA
AUGGCAAAUUGCACUAUACUCAUUACAAAAACAACAAAAAGGUAAUAAAAACGAAGGUGGUCUGUGGAAAUGAGGAGGCAAACCUCAUAUUCACACUCUGGACAAAAAUAAAGCCAGGGACGCGAUCUCACGAAGAUUUUACUGGCCUGGCAUGUCACAGACAUCGACCAAUGGGUACUAAGCACAUCUGUUGAUUCAAUAUAAAAAAUAAAAAAUAUUUUCAUGUCAUAAUAAGAUUGUUAAUAAUUUCAAAAAUAAACAAACCAUAAUUUCUGUGAGCCUAACACUUCUGUCUUCGACAAGAUGGCACAGUGUGAACAAUGCCAAGCCAGUAGGUCCUCCCUGAAACAGGGGACUGACUACAGACCUAUUGAGGUUAAACAGCCAUUGGAGCUGUUGGGCAUGGAUCUCAUUGGUAAGCUGUCACUGAGUGAGGACAGUAUUCAGUACAUUUGUGUGAUCAUCGAUUACCUCACGAAGUGGCCCCAGGCUUAUCCUUUGAGGUCCAAAUCCACCAAAGAGGUCGCUGAGUGCUUGAUCAAGUUUGUGCACAUGUUUGAAGCCCCUAAAAGGGUCUUAACUGACCAGGGCAAAGAGUUCGUCAAUGAGGUAAGUUCUGUGUGAAGAUAACAUCCAUAGAACAAAGCUUCAUUUUUCAUGUAGUUGUUUUUCUUCUUAUUUUAAUAAUGUUGAAAAUGUUACAUAUUCUCAAAGGGGCUUUAAUGAGAAUGUGGUGCCAUCAAUGAAUCAUUUGUGAAUGUUAAACAAUGCCUAAAAGAUUUGCAUACGCAGGGUAAGAGUUGUGGAAGUGUACACAAGACGGUAAGCGUAAAUUAAAUAUGCAUUUAAAGCGUAAGAAAAAAAAUAUUUGCAGCAUUUUACUGUUACUCGUAAUUGUAAUUCAUGUAUUGUGAAACUGCAGCUUCAUGCUAACGCAAAAUGAAUAUGAUUAACAUUGUUCUGACUUCUUCGGCAGCAGAUCCUCUUCUUUCAUCUUUAUUUUUAAUAAGCUGUAACAAUGAGAUGCUAUUAUAGUUUUUAUUAAGAUUUAGAUUUUUAGAUUAAGUUAAAGUUUAUUUUAUUUCAAGUAGCAGAAAUAUUUUCUAUAGGUUUCAGUUAACUAAAGAUGAUAACUAAUUAAAUAAUUCCUAAGGUUGUGAUGUUCUUCUUAUUAGAACAGCUGCAUGCUGGUUUAGGCUCAGUCUGGA